rnacentral:rRNA from 1 species
AGUGGAUGGGGAGCAACCUAUGUUGUGCGUGUGUAAAGGUAGUGCCAAGAAAAGCGAUGAUCAUGUUGAAAAUCAAUUCCCGGUACCCGAAACCGACACAGGUGGCAAGUAGAGAAUACUAAGGGGCGCGAGGUAACUCUCUCCAAGGAACUCGGCAAAAUGACCCCGUAACUUAGGGAGAAGGGGUGCCACCGAGAGGUGGUCGCAGUGAAGAGGCCCAGGCGACUGUUUAGCAAAAACAUAGGUCUCUGCAAACUCGAAAGAGGAGGUAUAGGGGCUGACGCCUGCCCAGUGCCGGAAGGUUAAAGAAGUUGGUCAGUUUUAGGAUGAAGCUAGCGACUGAAGCCCCGGUGAACGGCGGCCGUAACUACAACGGUCCUAAGGUAGCGAAAUUCCUUGUCGGGUAAGUUCCGACCCGCACGAAAGGCGUAACGAUCUGGGCGCUGUCUCGGAGAGAGGCUCGGCGAAAUAGGAUUGUCUGUGAAGAUACGGACUACCUGCAUUUGGACAGAAAGACCCUAUGAAGCUUUACUAUAGCUUGGAAUUGUGUUCGGGCUUCCUGUGCGCAGGAUAGGUGGGAGGCGUAGAAGGUAUUCUUGUGGGGAUACUGGAGCCAACGGUGAGAUACCACUCUCAGGAGGCUAGAAUUCUAACUUAAUUAAGGACAGUUUCAGGUGGGUAGUUUGACUGGGGCGGUCGCCUCCAAAAAGGUAACGGAGGCGUACAAAGGUUCCCUCAGACUGGUUGGAAAUCAGUCGAAGAGUGCAAAGGCAGAAGGGAGCUUGACUGCGAGAAGUACAGUUCGAGCAGGGUGGAAACACGGUCUUAGUGAUCCGACGGUGCUGUGUGGAAGGGCCGUCGCUCAACGGAUAAAAGUUACUCUAGGAUAACAGGCUGAUCUCCCCCAAGAGUUCACAUCGACGGGGAGGUUUGGCACCUCGAUGUCGGCUCAUCGCAACCUGGGGCGGAAGUACGUCCCAAGGGUUGGGCUGUUCGCCCAUUAAAGCGGUACGUGAGCUGGGUUCAGAACGUCGUGAGACAGUUCGGUCCAUAUCCGAUGUAGGCGUGAGAAUAUUGAGAGGAGCCUUCCUUAGUACGAGAGGACCGGGAAGGACGCACCGCUGGUGUACCUGUUAUGAUGCCAAUUGUAAACGCAGGGUAGCCAAGUGCGGAGAGGAUAACCGCUGAAAGCAUCUAAGUGGGAAGCCCACCUCAAGAUGAGUAUUCUGGUGUAAGGUCACGGGAAGACGACCCGUAAAUAGGCACGAGGUGGAAGUGCAGAGAUGUAUGAAGCCGAAAUGUACUAAUAGACCGUCGGCUUGACC